rnacentral:tRNA from 1 species
AAAAAGAUAAGCUAAACAAGCUCCUGGGUUCAUACCCCACUCAUGGGGGCUCCAAUCCCCCUCUUUUUA